rnacentral:misc_RNA from 1 species
UUUUGCGAUUGAUUAUUCUCAUAGAUCAUCGAUCAUCAUCAAUCUCUCGAAUCAGAAAAGAUAAAGAAAUCCAUGCAGCAACAGGAGACAUGUCGAUUAUCUGUUUUAUGGAGAGGAACGAAGUUUAGUCUGGAUAUGGAUCCAUCUGCUACUCUCAAAUCACUGGGGGAUGAAUUGCUGAAUCUCACCAACGUUAGAGAAGAUACGAUGCGCCUCAUUGUGCCUACUAAUAAAAGUUCAAGACUCUUGUAUCCUUUCUCUGAAGAGCACUCCUACCUGAAAUUGGAGGCAGCAUCCAUUCUUGAGGGUAAGUCUAUUAGGAUGUUGGGAGUGCCCAACGAUGAAGUAGAUGACAUUUUACAGAGUGCAAAGGCAGACCUCAGGAUUGUGGGUUUUGAUGAAGAGGAAAAGAGAUUGAGACGAAGAAUCUCAAAUGGGCUUCAGAGUUCACUAAAACUUCCACAAGGGCCUUAUGUCUUUGGUGAUUUUCGGACACUCCAUCUUCCUGGUAUAGAGUUGAAUCCUCCUGCUUCAAAAGCUUUAAAACUAAUGCACAAGCUUGCUGCUGAUCCAGG